rnacentral:rRNA from 1 species
GGAUUUCCCCAGUAACUGCGAGUGAAGAGGGAAAAGCCCAGCGCUGAAGCCCCCAACCCCGAUUCGAUCAGGAUGACAGGCAAUGUGGCAUGUGGGAGGAGCCACAGAUGUACAAUCGUCGGUCAGUUUAAGGUUCCCCUCGAUCCGCAUCGUGAAACCGGACCUGAUUUUUUUCCGUUCCUGGCUGUGGGAGCCCGAGUCCCCCUGACUGGGACCAUCGCCUACAGAGAGUGCAAGGCCCCUGCGGCUCGCAGGCGGCGGCCAGGAAAUCAGCUCGCGAGCGAAUUUUUUUCCCCUUUCUGGGGGGAAAAGUCGUUCCUCACCCUGGAGUCAGGUUCUUGAGAGUGCAGCCCUAAGUUGGUGGUAAACUCCAUCAAAGCCUAAAUACUUUCAUAAGACCGAUAACAAACAAGUACCAUGAGGGAAAGUUGAAAAAAAUGCUGGAGAGAGUUCAAGAGUACGUGAAACUGCUCACAGGCAAACAGGUGGGCCCACGAAGGUCAAAC